AGCCACGGCUGGCUGGCUGGCUUCCUUCCUUCCUUCCUUCCUUCCUUCCUUCCCUCACUCACUCACCACAGUCGCCUGCAGCUCCCGCCGCGUACUGUUCCCCGCUCCAGUCAGCCGCCAGGAGCUCCGAACAGCCUCUACUCCCCUGGCCUUGCUGACGGUGCGCCUCCUGCCUAAGCAAGGACAACGUCGGGAACCGCUCAGUCAGGGCGAACACCGGCUGAGUUACCGCCACCAGCCGUAGAAGUGCUAAGAGCAUCCCCGAGGGUGCAGCGAUACUUGGCCAACGACACCAAGAGACAGCGGCGGCUGCCAUCUUUCUAGAGCGCCGGUGCAGCAGUGUCACUUAACUUUUCGCGUUUCCCUCUUUCCCAGCGGGUCCCGGCGAGAAAUGGGUGAACGAAUUGCUUUCUGGGAAUGGUAGUUCCAAGCUUCCAGUCUAUACUGUGCAACUUGUGACUCAUAAACUACGAACGCCAAGAAGCUCUGCGGUUUCUCCUUCCCCCGUCUGGGCUUGCGGAACUCGGAAGCGAAAGAGAACAAGAAGAGGGGACGGCUGUUUCUGUGGCAACGGAACCUUGCGGCCUCGCUUUACUGGAGGAGAUGGAAGAUACUGGAGUUUAUAGGUGCAUUGAGUGCCAUAGAAAGGCUUCUGAGUUAUACAAGGACUAUCAGCGUGGCGUGUUGCGUAUUUCUUUAUGUGAAGCUUGUCAGAAACCAGUGGACAAGUAUAUAGAAUAUGAUCCUGUUAUCAUCUUAAUUAAUGCUAUCUUAUGCAAAGCACAAGCUUACAGACAUAUACUGUUCAAUACAAAAAUAAAUAUUCAUGGGAAGCUUUGCAUAUUCUGUUUACUUUGUGAAGCUUAUCUCAGAUGGUUGCAGCUACAGGAUUCAAGCCAAAGCACUGAUCCUGAUGAUUUAAUUAGAUAUGCCAAAGAAUGGGAUUUUUAUCGAAUGUUUGGGAUAGCAUCUCUGGAACAAACUGCCUUUUUGAUUGGCAUCUUCAGUGCUUUGUGGUUAGCAAGACCUGUACUCCUGAAAACCAAGGCAGAUUUCACCCUCCUUCUGAAAGCAUUGCUGCUAUCCAGCUAUGGAAAACUUCUGUUGAUUCCAGCUGUUAUUUGGGAACAUGACUAUACUCAUUUGUGCCUUUUGCUCAUAAAAGUGUUUGUCUUGACAUCAAACCUUCAAGCAGUUAGAGUUACCUUGAAUACAAGCCGAAAACUUUGUCUGGUGGCCAUUGUGAGUGGAUUAAUUUUGGAAAAUGCUGUCAUCUACUUGUUCCAGAGGAUAGGAUGGAAUGUUUGAGACAAUCUUGACUUAUUUUUUUAAUAGUGGAAUUGCUUGAAGAUGUCAAGAAAAGAAUGCUUUUUGAGUCAAUCCGCCAUGGUUUACAACCUGUUAGAAAUACAGUGGUAAAGAAAUAACAAAUAUAAAUAAAGCUUUCCAUACUGAACAAGAGACAGUAAUUUGAAGAGAGUCUGACACCAACACAGGAAAUUUAGUUUAAGAAGAUGGAAAGUCCACAAUUGGAGAAAUAUUUUGAAGAACCAUUCAUAAUGAAGCAUCUUACCCCUUCAAUUUAUAAAAACAACAAUCUGGGAUAGCGUACCUGUCCUAUGUCACAUUUGGUUUUGCACUCCAAAAUGAUUGAGAAGGAACAGUGUGUGAAGGAGGCUUUCUAGGUCACUGAGGAAUUUGACAGUCAUCUGAUCAUCUUGAUAGUUGUUUUCAGGUUUACGAUAUAUGGAAUGUCAGAUUACAGAAAAGUGACAAGGUAGCUGCAGAAAAAUCCAGUACACCUGUAGUGUAGAACAGUCUCUAAGUCCUACUUUAGAGAGAUAAAGAUACUUUCAUAUUUCUCAGGAUGAGCAUCAUAUUCACCCAACAUGGGAGAAUUGAGAGCUGUAUAAACAGUUAUCAGAAGCUAAGUGUAUUUGGGAUGUGGAAGAAUACUUCCUUCUGUCUCGUUUUGGGCAAUACCAUAUUUCUUAGGGCAGUAGUAACAGAACUUAUCUGGAACAGAUACUUUUGGAAACUAUUAACUGCUAGUUUGGGAAACAGUUUCUCCUUUGAAAGCCAAUUCUGUUCCAUAGAAAUGUUUUCAUAGAAGCUGAGACAUCUCAGUUUUAUUUAUACUUAAUUAUAGUAAACAGUUUUAUCAAAUGACUUUCUUACUAAUGCUUCAUUAUUAGUAAGUGGGGGGUUCAAAGUUUUGUCUGAGAAGGUUCAGAUGCAGGAUAUAAAGAUGGUAAAGAUGAAUUUUUGUGAUCAGCCAGAAGCCCUCUGAUAUAUUGAGUAAAUCUUGAAUUGAACCUGCUGAUCGAGUGAUAAAGGUAUAUGUAUUUGUGAUGCCAAAAAUUGCAGUACUGUGUGGCAUCUAUGUUGAUGAUUAAUAUUCAUACUUGCUUAUCCUUUUUUUGUUACAUUUCUAUACUGCUUUUAAUUUCAAAGAAUAUUUUAUUUAGAGAAUGUAUAUAUACCACAUUUCACUUCUAUUAUGAAUUAUUAAAUUAUUACAUAUAAAAUGGAGAGCCAGUGUGGUGUAGUGGUUAGAGUGUUGGACUUCGACCUAGGAGACCAGGGUUUGAAUCCGCACACAGCCAUGAAGCUCACUGGGUGACCUUGGGCCAGUCACUGCCUCUCAGCCUCAGAGGAAGGCAAUGGUAAACCACCUCUGAAUACCACUCACCAUGAGAACCCUAUUCAUAGGGUUGUCAUAUGUUGGGGUUGACUUGAAGGCAGUCCAUUUCCAUUUUCACAUAUAAUACAAUAAAAUCCAUAAUUAUUAAAGCCAAAUUAGAACAGCAGAAGAAGAAAAAAACAAAAAUCAAUACCAGAACAGCAAAAAUGGUCACAGGCAGGUUAAUUGUAGGUUUGUCCCGCUGUAGUGUUGCUGUCCAGAGCAACCAUUCUUUAUCGUGCUUUAAGACACCACUGAGCUAAAGCCGAAAUCUGCCUGUUCCUAUAUCUAGAGUGGCACAGGGAUCUUCUUCCCACUAAGCUAAAGGAAGUUUCUUGUGGAUGGAAUACCCAUAGCUCAUACUACAGUAACGUGUGUCCAUAUUAUCCAUAUGCUGCUAUUUAUAGCCUGUGCCAAUGGAUAUGCCAUCUUCCCAACCUCCCAUUGCCUUUCCAUCCUCAGUAGCUUCAAGGAGACACUUCAGGCAACCCCAUGCUGGGCUGGAAGCUUUCCAUGACCCACACCUGUAAGAUAUCAAAACAGAAUACAUAAAUGAACAGACAGCACUAUUUUUUAAAAAAGAAAUGAAACAAAAACUCUGAUAAUAACAAAGCCAUGUAAAAGCAAACAAAGAUCCAAAUCAGUCAGCUUUUGUUAGGAUCCACGAACUGUUUGGUAUCCCCCAAGGAACUUGUGAUGACCCAGUGUAAUCCUUACCUUUCUGAUAUGGUAACUUUGUGAUAUGAUGUGCUGUUCAAACUGCUUUUGAAGCUUUGUUCAGUUUCAGAAGCUGUCUCUCAAUGGCAUGGGGGUAGAGAGCUUUGCUGUAUAAGCAGAGGGAGGGGAGUUAAAAGCCACUAUCUUGAAACAAUUCCCUCUACAUAGAAAAGUAGAUGUCAAAGAGAAGGUUAUACUCUAGCCUUCUUUCUGACUUGCUAGAUUUCUGGGCAUAGGAAAUAUGUGUGCAGGAGCAUUCAAUCACAUAAACCCCCCAUUUGAAUUGGCACUGCUACCACAGAAGCUAUAUGUUAAGUGAAUGACAAAAAACUAGGCCCCUACAGCCCAAUCCUACCCAAGUUUACACUGAAGUCACACUUCAGUUGACCUUAUUUCAAGUAUGUGUACAUAUAACUGCAGUGUAAAGUGCAGCGUAAAUUGCACAGGAAGCACAACAAUGUCUAGGAAUCAGUUUGCUGAAAUUUUUUCAGUACACCAUUCUUAGGGUGAUUUUGUGACCAAAUUUCUUACAGCAAAGGCAGAACAUCACUAUUGGCAUAAAACAGCUUAUUAUUCCCCACCAUCCACCCUUUAGACUCUUCAGCCUACUUUAAAAUAUGGAGCUCAUAUGCUUUCUUCCAGCUUCUUUUUUCUAUAUCAUAGCUCAUGCAAUAAAAGGCCAAUCACUUGCACUGUAUAGAAUAGCUGGUCCGAUCACUUGCACUGUAUUUCAACUUGGAAAGUUAGCUUUUUUAUCUUUCUAGAAUUUCAAGUAUAUUAAACUUAAAUUCUUUUAAUAUAUCCUAAAAUGUCCUAUUUAAUUUUAUUUACUAGUCCAGCAAAGUUUUACUGGAUUAAUUUUAAAUCUUCAACUGAAGUUUUAUUAAGUACAUUUUAAACCAAAAGCUUGGUAAGUGCCCAGGAUGAAUGAAUAUCAAGAAAAAGAGCCAUAGAAGCAUUUUUAUUAUUUAUUGUUUUGCUUCUUUUGGAAUCUUAUUGGUCUGCUAUGUACAGCUAUUCUGGCUUUCCCUUGUUCAAAAGGAUUCAAAAGGCUCUUGUGUUUAACCAGUCGAAAUAGUUUAAGCAAUAGCUCACACAAUUCAUACAGGCAUAAUUGUUGUUUGUGACAGAGCCUAGCUCUGGCAGUCUAAAAUGAAAUAUUGCACAUUGGCCAACUUUCAACUCCACUAAAUGGUGUCUUUGACCCUUGAGGGUUAGCACUUGUGUGCUUGGCUGAUGGAAUAAAGUUAAAAAAAAUGUGUGUGUGUGAAAUCUUAUCCAAAGUAAACCUCACAGACUUAAAAGUAGGCAUUUUUAUAUGUUGCCAUUUUAAUUGUGAAUGUUAUUAUUUAUUCAUUUAAAACAUUUUUAUAGCACCUUUCAAUUCAAAAGAAUCCAGGGUAGCUUGCAAAAUGUCACAAUGUGAAAAUUUGACUACACAAAAAGAAACCAGAUAGCAUUUAGUGUCAAAACACUUUCUCACGCAAAAACUUUGAGUAAAAUGAAACUUACUUGCAAAUAAGGGGCAAUGCAUUGCAGUUCUUUGUAUGUCUGCUCAAAUAUAAUCCUGCUACACAUACCAGUACAAAAGUAAGACUGGCCUUUCUGAACAAUUCCUACAGGGGUACCUAAUGCUGUUUGUCUUGCUCAUGUAAUUAUAGCACAGAGUGCUUUUUAAGGUUUCUUUUGAUAGAGCUGUGCACCGGAUUUGUACAAAUCACAAACCAAAUGGGCCAAUUUGUGUCCUGUCCAAAUCAAGUUGAAGCAGCUGCAACUUUCUACAGAGUGGAUUGGCUAGUUCCAAAUUGAUUUGUAGGGACUGGUACAGAUCUGUAGCUCAAAACAGUCUCUAAUGAACCUAGACGCAGUGUCUGUGAAAUGGAGCAAUUACAACACUAUGUAAGGAGAACACCACAGUGGGGAGGAAGGCUAGAAUGCUAUCACCCCACCCAAUACACUCCAGUCACAGUGCUUGGAAGGGGUGAGGUCUUAAAAUGCAGAAAUAUUUUGUAAAUUCUGUCUCUUAGAAAUGUUUGGUGGCGGUUGGGUGGCAUUUACUUAGCUUGUGUAUGUUUUCUAUUCUUUUCCAAUAAAUUCACCCAUGUGUAUAUGAAUGAAAGAGGCUAGGAGUCCCUCUUACCAACUUCGGCUGGUAAGACAGCUGCGGCUGUUUCUGGACUGGGAUAUCCUGACCACUGUUGUCCAUGCACAGUAACCUCCAGGCUGGAUUACUGUAAUCCGCUCUAUGUGGGGCUGCCCUUGAGAUUGGUCCGGAAGCUGCAGCUGGUGCAAAAUGUGGCUGCAGGACUGCUCACUGGGGCAGGGUAUUGCCAACAUGUCACCCCGCUGCUGAAAGAAUUGCACUGGCUGCCUAUUUGCUACUGGGCCAAGUUCAAGGUUCUAAUUUUGGUGUGUAAAACCCUGUACAGCUGGGGACCAGGAUACCUGAAAGACAUCCCUUAUACACCCAGUUGAUCACUGCGCUCUGCACGUGAGGACCUCCUGCAGUUACCAUCUUAUCAGGAGGUCUAUGCUGCACAAUGUAGGAAACAGACCUUUAGUGUGGUGGCACCUACCCUGUGGAAUUCCCUCCCCUUAAAUAUUAGACAGGCACCAUCUCUGUUAUCUUUUUGGUGCCUAUUGAAGACCUUUCUCUUUCAACAAGCCUUUGAGACCUUACCCCAGUCUGUGUCUGUGUUGGAAUUGCUUUUUAAUAUGUUUUUAAAUCUGCUUUUUAAAAAAUAUUUUUGUAAUUUUUUAAUAUGUUUUGGAAGCUUUUAAAAAAUGUUUUUAAAGAUGUUUUGUUUUAAUGUAUUUUAAAGUCUGUUUUUACGAUCUUUUAAAGUGUUUUAACUGCUUUUGUUUGCCACCCUGGGCUCCUGCUGGGAGGAAGGGCGGGAUAUAAAUCAAAUAAUAAAUAAAUAAAAGGCUGUGCCAUGUGGCAUGGAGAUUGCUGCUUAAGACACAGACGACCAAACCACCUUUUAGUAAUUCGAUCUUGCUGUCUAGUUGUUUCAAUCCUGAUUAUUGUCUGCUAAGUUACAUCUUCCUCCCCAUUCCCACUGUGCUGAAGUUAGGCAGGUGGCAGCCUUAGAGGGCCUUUCAGCUGUGGUGCAUCCAGUUAUGGAACACUCACUCUAUGAAGGUUUGCCUGGUACCUACUCAGAUCUUUCUUGUACCAGGUAAAUAUUUUUUUAUUUUUGCAGAUCCUUUCAAACAUCAUCUGAGUUGUUUUUAAUUGGCCUUUUGAUUAAUUUUUCCCUUUUGAUUAUGUU